GGAGCAGGAGGGGAGGACCGAGCCGGCCUGGAGGAUGGGGGACAGAGAAAAUCAAAGGAUGCAGAAAGGGAGGAGAGGAGGGUUGAGGAGGCAGAAUCAGGAGAUAGGUUGGAGAAGGUUUGAGCAGAGGGAAGAGAUGAUAGGAUGGAAGAGGAGAGAGUAGCGGGAGAGAGAGAGCGAAGGUUGGGACGGCGCAAUACCAUCCGAGUAGGGGCAGAGUGAGAAGUGUUGGAUGAGAGCAAGAGGGAAAAGGAUACAAGGAGAUGGGUUGGAGGUUUGAGCAGAGGGAAGAGAUGAUAGGAUGGAAGAGGAGAGAGUAGCGGGAGAGAGAGAGCGAAGGUUGGGACGGCGCAAUACCAUCCGAGUAGGGGCAGAGUGAGAAGUGUUGGAUGAGAGCAAGAGGGAAAAGGAUACAAGGUAGUGGUCGGAGAUUUGGAGGGGAGUUGCAAUGAGAUUAGUGGAAGAACAGCAUCUAGUAAAGAUGAGGUCAAGCGUAUUGCCUGCCUUGUGAGUAGGGGGGGAAGGUGAGAGGGUGAGGUCAAAAGAGGAGAGGAGUGGAAAGAAGGAGGCAGAGAGGAAUAAGUCAAAGGUAGACGUGGGGAGGUUAAAGUCACCCAGAACUGUGAGAGGUGAGCCAUCCUCAGGAAAGGAACUUAUCAAGGCGUCAAGCUCAUUGAUGAACUCUCCAAGGGAACCUGGAGGGCGAUAAAUGAUAAGGAUGUUAAGCUUGAAAGGGCUGGUAACUGUGACAGCAUGGAAUUCAAAUGAGGAGAUAGACAGAUGGGUCAGGGGAGAAAGAGAGAAUGUCCACUUGGGAGAGAUGAGGAUUCCAGUGCCACCACCCCGCUGGCUCGAUGCUCUAGGGGUAUGCGAGAACACGUGGGCAGACGAAGAGAGAGCAGUAGGAGUAGCAGUGUUAUCUGUGGUAAUCCAUGUUUCCGUCAGCGCCAGGAAGUCUAGGGACUGGAGGGUAGCAUAGGCUGAGAUUAACUCAGCCUUGUUGGCUGCAGACCGGCAGUUCCAGAGGCUGCCGGAGACCUGGAACUCCACGUGGGUCGUGCGCGCUGGGACCACCAGGUUAGAGUGGCAGCGGCCACGCGGUGUGAAGCGUUUGUAUGGCCUGUGCAGAGAGGAGAGAACAGGGAUAGACAGACACAUAGUUGAC
rnacentral:lncRNA from 1 species